rnacentral:ncRNA from 1 species
GUUGACGGGUUACUCGCCGGUCCGGAAGAGUGACCGGCGAGCGGUAGCGGAGGAACCCGGUGCGAAUCCGGGACGGUCCCGCCACUGUGACCGGGGAAAUCGCCCCGGGAGCCAGGAACUCCGGCCGCUCGCGACAACCGACA